GACGAACGCUGGCGGCGUGCUUAACACAUGCAAGUCGAACGGAAAGGCCCUGCUUUUGUGGGGUGCUCGAGUGGCGAACGGGUGAGUAACACGUGAGUAACCUGCCCUUGACUUUGGGAUAACUUCAGGAAACUGGGGCUAAUACCGGAUAGGAGCUCCUGCUGCAUGGUGGGGUUGGAAAGUUUCGGCGGUUGGGGAUGGACUCGCGGCUUAUCAGCUUGUUGGUGGGGUAGUGGCUUACCAAGGCUUUGACGGGUAGCCGGCCUGAGAGGGUGACCGGGCAGAGUGGGACUGGGAUACGGCCGAGACGGCUAAGGGAGGCAGCGGUGGGGGAGAUAGGACAAUGGGCGGAAGGCAGAUGGAGCACGGCCGCGUGGGGGAAGACGGCCUUGGGGUUGUAAAACGCUGUCGCGUGUGACGAAGCGUGGGUGACGGUAAUGAGUAAAGAAGCACAGGCUAACUACGU
rnacentral:rRNA from 1 species